AACAUCGCGCACCUGCGGGAACCUGCGGAAGGAUCAUUACCGAGUUUACAACUCCCAAACCCCUGUGAACAUACCUAUACGUUGCCUCGGCGGAUCAGCCCGCGCCCCGUAAAACGGGACGGCCCGCCCGAGGACCCCUAAACUCUGUUUUUAGUGGAACUUCUGAGUAAAACAAACAAAUAAAUCAAAACUUUUAGCAACGGAUCU
rnacentral:misc_RNA from 1 species